GACGAACGCUGGCGGCGUGCCUAAUACAUGCAAGUCGAGCGAACAGACGAGGCGCUUGCUCCUCUGUCGUUAGCGGAGGACGGGUGAGUAACACGUGGAUAAUCUACCUAUCAGACUGAGAUCAUUUCGGGACACCGGAGCUAAUACCGGAUAAUAUCUUGCACCGCAUGGUUCAUUAGAGAAAUACGGCUUUGCUGUCACUUAUCGCUGGAUACGCGCUGCAUUAGCUAGUUGGUAAGGUAACGGCUUUCCAAGGCGACGAGGCGUAGCCGAACUGUGAGGGUGGUCGCCCACACGGGAACUGAGACACGGUCCAGACGCCUACGAGAGGCAGCAGUAGGGAAUCGUACGCAGUGGGCGAAAGCCUGACGGAGCAACGCCGCGUGAGUGAUGAAGGUCCUCGGAGCGUAAUACUCUGUUAUGAGGGGAGAACAAAUGUGGAAGUAACUAUGCACUUCUUGACGGUACCUAGUCAGAAAGCCACGGCUAACUACGUG
rnacentral:rRNA from 1 species